rnacentral:rRNA from 1 species
GCCAUUGUGUCUAAAUCUGCCAAUGGCUCGGCGAUCUGCGAAUGGCUCAUUGAUUCUCCCUUACUACAUGUACAACCCCGUUACUUCUUGAACCACCGCGUGCUUUCAUGACCUACCCCUGGCAGGGCUGCCUUACCCCUAUAAGGGCAUCCCCUUCAGAGACUUUGGUGAUCCUUCAGGGCCUUUGGGAACUCAUGGCCUUGUGCCGGAUACCAUGGCCUCGUGUUUCUGACCUAUCAUUUUUCUUUGUGCCAUAUCUGCUUUCAAUGGUUUACUACGGGUCACGGGGAAUUACGGUUCUAUUCCGGAAAGGGAGCCUGAAUUCCGGAUACGGAGCCCGAGGAACGGCUACCGCACCCAAAGAACGCAAUCCGCACGCGGGUAAGCCAUGCCCAACACUACGAGGUAGUGACUCUUUUGGCUGAUGCAAGUGUCAUGAGGGUCUUGUAAUUCCCUUGACGACGAAUAAUUGCACGGAACGACGAGCGCCUGCAGGCCCGGUCUGGCGCCCUCCACCACCGUAUAUUAAACUCCAUGCACGUAUAUUACUCUUAUUUCAACCAAGAGGCUGGUAGGUCAACCCUGCUCCUCGCUGGCAGUGCUGCCGCCGGGCCUGUACUGCUGCGGACGCGCCUGUCCUUCUGUGGAGGCGUCUGGCAAUCACGGCUUGUGCCUGGAAAACAUGACUUUGUCCAAAGAAAGCCUAUAGUCUACUACGUUAGCCUGUGCUCGAAUA